GUGAGAGAGAGAGAGAGAGAGAGAGAAUCUUUGAUCCCCCUAUGGAUGCAGUGAGUGGUACAGGUUUUGAUGAUACAACCAGGGCAUCAAAGUAUCAAAGGAAAUUUUUCUAUCUUCCCACUCUUUACCCUAAACCAAGCUCUUUUAGUUUUAGUUUUAGUCUUUACCCUAAGCCAAGCUCUUCACCAUGAAGCAGCAAAGAUGGCCUUCAUGACCUUUACACAUUAUCCUAAUACAUUCAUAUAGAUUAUUGAAGGGAAAAAAUGAGCUUUGGGACAUAUAUUCUCUAUAUUAUUUAUUUUGUCUGUGUUCCAAAGACAGCAUGGGCCUAAAUUUUGGCUUUGGGACCCAUGGAUUGAACUUAAGCUAAGUAUAUAGUAUUACUUAAAUGUAGUCUCUUAAUCGUGAAACGUUUGGGGUCUGGUUUUUAGUAUACGGUGUUUUUGUUUUUGUUUGUCAACACUCUGAGUUGCUCAGGAAGUCAUGUGAUUUAAUUUAAUGGGUUAUUAUGGCUGUCUGUUGUUCAUAUGGUUGUUGACUCUUGAUAGUUUAAAAAAUGUAAACUAUUAGGGCUUAUAGUUUAUGGGGCCUGCAGAGGCCCCAUUUUUUGUCUCUAAUCUUAUUUGCUUUCCCUUUCCCCUACCUGCAUCACAGUAGAAAUUUAUCUUUUAAGGCAAAAGAAUAUUUAAAUUAAUAGUAGCAAAAUCAUCUCCAGGGAAACAAUAAGAAAUGGUCUUGCCUAUGUGAUAGAAUAAAAAUAGAGUGGUAGAACGUGGAUUUGACCUCUAUUCCUCUGCACAAGCAUGAUAAAAAGGGGAAAAAAGUUUUCAUUACAUGCUCUGUGCAAAAUCAAUCAAUCAAUCAAUCAAUAAUAAGUGGCCAACUUGUGUAUAAUUUGUAUUGCCAUAAUUAAAAUAUGUUUCAUUAUAAUCUUCAUAAAACUAAUACAUAAUUGUGCAAUGUUACAUGCUGAAUUCCUGAAGGUCCCGUGCUCAUAAGCCUGAUCUAAAUGCAACUUGAAUGCCAAGUGCAGCUCUCAUUCUUCAUUUUAGGUUUAUGAACUGGAAUUUAAAUGCCAUUUAACAUGCAUGUGAACUGGGUCCCUGAAUACAAUACUAACUUUCAUUUGAAUGAUUCUUAUCUCAUUUUUUAAUUUGUGUCUAGCUCAUCUUUGCUACGUCACAGUGAAGGAUGGGGGGAAGGAUAUAAAAAUUUUGCCGCCUACUUAUUGAAACAUAAUGUGAUGAAGAGAGGAGGGAAGAAGAUGGAAUAUAGUCACAAAAUAAUAAUUUAUCCUCUAGGUCUGAAAAAUAGCCAGUCAACAAUUUGGAAACGUUAGUUUAUAAAGAACAGUCAAUGUUAUUUCUUAUUCAGGGAUAUGAAAUAUUAUUUAAUGUAUACUUGACCUUAAUAAAUAAAAGUAAAUAAAUCUUAUUUCUUAUUACACUUUCUUUUCAGAAGCACUAUUUCCAAUGGUUAGCUUACUCAUUAAACAUUAAACUAAAUGAACAGUAAUCUGAGAAGAAUAACAUGGCUUGCUUUUUUUAUCAGACACUAUACUGAAUAUUUUUUGACAUUAAUUUUUUCACUCAUUCAUUUAUUUGUUUCCAUUUUUAAAAGGCCAGGAAACAAUUGUGAGACAGUUAGAACACGGAGGUUAAGCACAGGCUUCAAACCCUGCCUCUUCUGUUUACUUGCUGUGUGACCUUGGGCAUAUUAUGCAACCUUUCUGUGCCUCACUCUUUUUCUGUGAAAUGGCUGCUUAUCUUGUAGAGCAAUGAUCAGAAUUAAUAAGUUAAUAUAUGCGACUUGCUUGGAAGCAUGCUUGGAAAAUAAUAGAGCGCAACACAUGCCAAGGUAGUUACUAGAGAAUUUGCCCAGCAUGGCGAUAAGAUGCAUGAUUGGUAGUUAAUAGAUUUGUCUGAAUCUAGAAUUUGGAGAUUCAACCAAAACCAAAACCAAAACCAAACCUUUUUAUGUCAUUGCAUGUAUUGUAUCCAUAUGGGUAAAACAGUGGUAAAAUUAGUUGAAAGUUAGAAAUAGUUUGUUAAAAUUAUAUUUCUUUAAAUGAAAUUCAAGAAUAGCUUGCAAUCAAUAAUGUCAUUUCAUAAAUGAUCACAUCUUAUCUCUCAGGGGGUAAGCUGCUGGGCAGACUGAAGGCCUAGACUGAUAAUUACUAUUAUAAAUUAUUACUGAUCGGAAUGUAAUACAUUACUCUUCAUUGAGCAACUAUUCAAUGAAGUCUUCUAUUUCUACCUAAAACACACCUUGCUCGGAAAAUGAUUCAAGAAAUGUUAACUGAUGCACUUCUCAGCCAUGAUGAUACGAGCUCAUUUUUGAAAUUGCUUUUUUUUGUAUGUCUCUUACUAUUCAUGAGUGAAUAUAUAUCUGUAUUUAUGUCUUUAUUUUUGAUAUCUUAAAUGACAGUUUCAAGGCUCACCUUCAUGGUAUAAUUUAGAGUAGGAAAGGGAUUCAAUGGGCACAUACUCAACCGAUGAAAGAGUAUUUAAUCAGUGCUUCCCAAAGGCUCAGUUUUAGUGCUGGGUUGAUUUUAAAAACUGACUUGAGAGGCAUUUAAGAAUUCAUCUAUACGCUCCUUGAAAUGUGAUCACUCUUCUGUGUAAUAUUCCUAGUUUCAGAGACUUCCUCAAGAGACUGAUUUGUCUUUAAUAUUGCUUUCAAAGAUGGUACCACCAUUUACUGGCCACGAAGCUAAAUACCUUGUGCGCAUUCUGCCACUUAAUCCCUUCCAUGUGGUUAUGCUGUUACUAUCCAAAAUUUAUAGUGAAGGAAAUGGAGGCCUACAAAGAUGAUGUUACCUGCCCAAGGUCACACAGCCAUGAUGUACAUUGAAGAGCCAGGAUGAAACUCAGAUUGUCUGAUCCCACCUACCAUCAGCAGUCAGAACUCUGAUCGUUGCUUCCACCCACUAUCUUGAAUAAUCUUCUUUAUCUAAGAUCUUUAAGUUGUAUUUACUUGCAUUUGGCCCAGACUCUUUCCUUGCAGGGUUGGGCAGCCCAGUCUUCGUUUCCCACCUUAAAUGGAAGGAGUCUCUUGUGGCCCUACAUAUCCUCAUCAUAUUUUGGCUACCAUUAGUUUCUCAUUCAUGUAUUUUGAUAUGUGAUAAACGAAUAGAUCUCCCGCAUAAAAUCACUCACUCUCUUUCCAGAAUUCUUGCCACUUAGAAAGGCAAAAGGCAAAAAAGGCAAAGAUUUGCCUAUUCCCGAGAAAACUGUUGCUAUCCAAAAUUAACAAGCCCUUUCAAGAUGGCUGUUUGCUACUCGCUAAAAUAGUAUAAAAUGUCAUUUACCGUCUAUAAUUCAGAACCAUAACGUCACAUAUACAUAUUUUUUAACGUUUCUAUAAUUGUGGCUAGCACACGUAAAUUUCAGGCUAAAGAAGUAUGAGAGAUAUCACAUAGAUCCAUAUCAAUCCUUUGUAUAGAGAAAACUUCUUUUUAAAUAUGCUGAAACCUGGGGUGCCUGGGUGGCUCAGUCGGUUAAGCGGCCGACUUCAGCUCAGGUCAUGAUCUCGCGGUCCGUGAGUUCGAGCCCCGCGUCGGGCUCUGGGCUGAUGGCUCAGAGCCUGGAGCCUGCUUCCGAUUCUGUGUCUCCCUCUCUCUCUGCCCCUCCCCCGUUCAUGUUCUGUCUCUGUCUCAAAAAUAAAUAAAAAGUUAAAAAAAAUUAAAAAAAAAAUAUGCUGAAACCUGUAAAGAGGAUCUCCUUGUCAGCAAAGAUUACAUCGGUAAAGCUUUCAAAGAAAUCAUCUCUUUGGGCAAGAGUUCAGUUUUGAUCUUCAGCUGUGGUUCUGUUAACUUGCCUGUCGAGAUCAAUUAAAGUGGUUACCGCUUUUUUUAUUUCAAAAACGAAGUGGUUCUUGAUCCUGGUUGUGGCUUUACAUUUCAUUGGGUACAUUUAAAAAGUGAACUACCCUUGCCUGGGCCCCAUGAGCAUAUGUAGUUCAUCUGGAGCGCAGUGUGGACACUACUCCUCCUAAGUGAUUCUCAGGUGCAGUUAGAGGUGAGAAGCAUGGGGAGAAGUCAGCAAGGUAGGAAAGGCCAUUUUCUCCACAGCAGCACUAAGUGCCACAGAGAUCUGUUCCCUUCAUUACUUUAUAAGCCUUAAAACUACCUUCAAAAUUCUUUGGUCACGGAAUUCUUCUAAUACCUUGCCGUGACACUUGAAAAUAUGUAACUUUAAGCUUAAGAAAUUGAAAGAAGAGCAGCAUGGGCAGAUUAGCUCUGAUCAGAAAACCAAAUUAUCUGGGUUCUGGGGAACCCAUUGAUUAACCAUUGGAGAAAGAUUAAUCCAUUGAUUAACCUUGGAGAAAGUAUAUAGCCUCUCUGGUCUUCAGAUUUGUUCCCUAGUCUCAUGCUUGCUGUCAUCUUUAAGGUUCUUGAAAUCGUCAGUGGUCUGUCCGAGACCACUCAAUGUCCCACAAUUUUUAAUCAUCGGAGAGAUUUUUAUUUCGUUUAAAGUUCCCAAGGAGAUUUUUAUUUUUUUCUUAAUUUUUUCUUCUAAUUUUUAUUUAAUUUCUAGUUAGUUCACAUAUAGUAUAAUAUUGGUUUCAGGAGUAGAAUUCAGUGAUUCAUCACUUACAUAUAACAGCCAAUGCUCAUCAUAACAAGUGCCCUCCUUAAUGCCGGUCCACCAUUUUGCCCGUCCCCCACCCCCCUCCCUCCAUCAAGCCUCAGUUUGUUCUCUGUCAUAAAGAGUCUCUUAGGGUUUGUUUCCCUCUCUGUCUUUUUUCCCCCAAGGGGAUUUUUAAAAAGUAGCCCAAUGCUAUCAUUUCCUUGAAACUUAAUGUCCUUUCCUGUGGAUCAAAAUCCUUUUUCAUACCUCUGGAGAAGUAAACCUCUCCUCUCACUUUCAUACAAACUCCGCCCUCAAUGUUCAGGGAAGUUGUUCCCCAUCAAAGCCCCUAAAAGACUUGCUCUUCCUGCUCAUUGGAGCCCGAGUGACCUGGCCCAGGAGCUAUCCCGUCUGGCACCGUCAUAUACACAGGAGCCUCAAAUCUGUGCUCUGUGUUCUUAGGAUACAUUUCAACUUCUUUAUCACUCUUGGUCGCCAUGAAUUUCCUUCAGGUCAUGACCUCCCCAAGAUUGUCUACAUGUAUAGUCAUCACUGAGUGCUUAAGAAGUCAUAGUCAAAAGGCCAAGUAGUUUGAGUAUUUGUCAUUUUUUUUCACGGAUCUUUACAUACUAUUUAAAAAAUAGCAAUAAGUCACUCUUUAUUACUGAUAUUGCACUUCUUAAAUCUCCUUACUAAAGACUAACAGGAACAGACAUUUCUCAUGAGGAAUGAAUACUUGAAAUGUACUUGGCAGUAAGCAUAUGAGAAAACAGUCAAUGACAUCAUAGAUGCAUUGCAUCUGGUCACAAAUACCAGUGACAUAACUUACAAUAACCCUUUGCUUAUUGAAAAUUGCCCAGACUCCUGCUGUACUGUUCCUUUGGAAAAGCUGCUUGGUAUGUAGUGUUUAAUUCAGUAUUUUAAAGCCACCCUUUUGUAGGCCCAUUCCACUUCAGCGAAAGUUACAACGCCUUGUGUGUGUUAGUGUAAAAAAAGAAGGCAAAGUUUAUCGCCUGCCUCUCUCUCUCUCUCAGUAUCAGAAUAUUAGUAUUUUUAGGUGAAUAAAAUAGCCUAUUUUAGAGAUCUGUAGAGGGUAAGCUUGAAUGUGUUGUUAAUUUCAUGUGCCGUCAGGGAGAAUAGAUAUGAAAAGGAAUAAUUUGAUGAAAACAUCCAUGCUUUAGUAUUAUAAUUAUUUUAACAAUGAUGAAGUUUUAUUAUGGGACUAGAACCCUGUUUUCUCCUUCUCUGCCACUUUUUUUGGUAUUAUGGAAUAUUCACAAUUUGAGAGAAAUCACUCCAUCACUAGAGUCAUCUUAUCUGCAACCCCUAAGCGAAUUGCUUUUCCCACUCUCUAAUUUAUCCAAAGAACAUCUCCCUGGUCAGUAUUACAAGCCAUUUUUAUUAUUUUCCUUCACUUGUUUAUUAAUCAUUUUGCCAUCAGGAAAGGAAAGGAAAAGUCACAUCCAAUUUUUUCUUUCUUUUUUUCCUCUCCUGCUCUAUGACAAGAUUGAAAGCCUAAAGAACGAGAGUUCAAAUCUUGCUUGAAAUAGAGACACAUUAUUCUCAACCAGAGAAAUUCUGGAUUUACGUUUCAUUUUCUUGUGGAAAAAUUACUUUAAUUCAAUUUUGGAAAAACCCACACAUUUUACAUGUGUGACCAGUAAAUUUGUCCCUUGAUUUCAUUAAAGUGUUUGGCAAGAGUUCACAGAUUUUGCCAGCAACUCUCAAAGAACUGCUUUAAUGGUCUAAUUGUUACAAUUUGGUAAUUAGCUAGAGUCACAUUUCAAAGUGUGACCGAUAAGAUUUGGCAGAGUUAGCCAGUAUUUCAGAAAAUGGACUAGAGUCAUAGAGAUGCUACUAUUGUUCUUGUCUUCACGUUUAUACUUUUACUUUGGACUCCUGAGACGUACGGCUUUUGUGACUCUGCCACAACCUACUAUUCCCAACACAUCCCUGACAGCUGCAAGCAUCUUUGGGGAAGUGUCCCCUCAAGUUCCUGUUUCCAGUCAUUAAUGCAAAAGAAAGAAAAACGCUAGAGGCACUGACAACCAUCCAACGCUUCAGCUGGCUUCAGCAAUUGCCACUUGCGCAAGACCCGUGUUUGUGAAAGCAACCCAAGAAUCUUUGAACAGGAUGUAAUCAACCUCCGAUCUGCUGAGAAACACUGCAAAAAUGACUUCCCCUGCCAAAAAUAAUAAUGUCGUUUAUGAGCAGCCCUUCCAUGUCUAAGGAAGAAGUAGCCCCACGUGUGAGUUUCUGCUGGCUUCAGAGGAGCAGGCGAAGAAAAGGGCAAAUCCUACCUACCCCAGCCUAAAAUACACGGCAUCAGAACGCAUGGCAAGCUGUGGCUCAUUCCAAAGGUGCUGGCAAUAUCCGGGAAGACUCCUAUCCGCAAAAAUCCAAAGGAAUGAACCUGGAGACUGAAACUGCAGCCCCUAUGUGGUGACCCGGAGGGGACAAGGGAGAGGACAAAGGCCUAUGAGUCUUUUCAUCCUGCAUGUGCAGUUUUAACCAUGAUGGAAGGAGAGACUCUCUGGUCCAAAAAACUCAACAUAUUUCUUAUCCACAGACACAGGUAAGUGGAAACAACCGUUCUUCCGUGUCGGCAUUAGUCAUUGUGAUCUGUUUUUAACUUGUUGCAGAGUCAAAUAACACUGGUAUGUGUCAUAAAAUGUCUCCAAAUAUUCCUGGGCUUGUUCAUUUGCUUCAAGCACAUAAAGAGGCAAAUGUUAAAGCAAUGUGUUCUGAUCAAGAAACAGCUGGAAAUGGCAGCUGCCUGAUACCGAGCAAUCAAGAAUGGAAGGUUUAUUUUGGACGAGAGGUGUUGUCCAACUGUGAGACUGAGUGAUUGCAGCUGAGAAUAAGUGCAAACACAAUCAAUAGUGGCUCCAGGUCUGAACUCAUUGAGAACUGUCUCGUGUCACGUCUUUUUCUGCUGCCGCAGUCACACUACAUCCGUAGACGCCGAUACUAUCCGUGGAGGAGGUAAAAAGUUCUUCAGUUUAUUCUUAUUAAGGACAGCUUCUGAGCCAUCAUGAUUUGAAAUUACAAUGACCAAAAGGCUCCUUCAGGAAAAAAGAAACAAUAUAUUCCAAAGUCAAAUUGUAUAACGGACAGGUAAGAAUGCCUCAACUUUAAAUGGUCUUGGGUGGGCAUUGCCUCAAGAGCCAGCCAAGUUGUUCUCUGCUUUCUGGAGUUGUAUGACUAUGGGCGAAGUGAUUUCAUUCUUCCCGGUCCCUAAGAGUGUUGUUAUUUUAUCGAUACAGACCGUAGAAGCGGCUCAAUAAAUAUUUUCUGUUGAACAAUCUAUAAUCGCGACAUUUGGUAUUGAAUUUCAAUACUACUUCAGCAUAACCUGAUUGAAUUCAACUCCACUCAACACAGAUAUAUUGUUCAAAAUAUGUGUUUCGUUAUGCCUCAUUAUUUAUAGUCAUACUUCAUGUAUCACACACAGAUAUAUCACAGACACAUAAAGACAGAGACGUAACUACGUAAGAAAUAUUCCCCAAACUUAUGCUUUGUGGAGGAUAUCUUAAUAAUAGCACUUUUUAAAAUAAAAAUCUUUCUCCUGUUUGUAUUACAAAAAUGGCCAUUUGAUGGUUCAUAAAUCUUUCUCUUCUUUCCUUCGUGCCUAUAUCUGUGUAAGGCCUUGAUGGGCCAAUCACCACAUGGAAUACAAACGUGGAUAAAAUAAAGUUCCUGACCUCGGUGGGGAUUAACAUUCACUUGUUCCUUCACCCGAUCUUUCCCAGCUAGCAUUCUCAUUAGACGCUUCCAGUUAAAAACACAAAAACAAGAACAAACAAAAAAAAACACUUAUUUUAAAACCCGGGGAGUCAACCUGGAGCCUGGGCAGCCUUUACCCUUGCUGUAGCUCUUCUCUGCUUUCUACACUCAGCUGUGCAACCCUCUUUUUCAUCUGGUUGCUUUUAUAAUGCCAAGGGAAGAAGCACAUUAUUUGGAGUACAAUCUUUGGGUCCAGAGUAUCGAAACGCUCCUCUUCGUGAAAAUGCCAAGUGACUUUAUUUGUUCCAUGAAGCCCUUGAAAACAGUAAUGCAUUUGAAACAUCGGAGGGGAAGCUGUCAAAGGAAAAAUAGAAUUAUCUCCACCACCACCUACACUCUCUCGAACAAAAUUAUAAUGUCGUCGUAUGGAAGGAAGUCCAUUCCGUAGAGCACUACUUUUAUUAAAACGGGCGUGUAAUCCUGGAGGCUUAAAGGUGUCAGGUCUGACCAGGAGAUAAAAUAGAGUAUACCAUUUGUUGGUAUUCGUACAGCAUUUUUCUUCUGAGGAUCCCAAAGAGAUUAAUCUUUCUUGUUGUUUGAAAUCUUAGCCAGUGUGCUUUAAUAUAUUUAGCAACCUCGGAGUAAGCAGGUCUCAGGGUAGAUGAAGCUUUUAGGGAUUUAAUUUCUUGUUAAGCCUGGAAAACAAGAGGGUAAUGACCUCUAAACCCCGGCAGCCCGUGCACCCGGGCAGUGUCUUCACGGACUGUUGCUGCAUGGGCAUGGGGACAUUAUUCAGAGCCCCAACCCCAAAAUUGCUCCUGCCCGCAUGACCCUCUGCCAAGUAACAAAUUAAAAGGCCCAACUCAAUCACUUCUUUGAAGGCCCAGCGUCCAUACUCAGAAAUGGCAGAGGGUUCAUUCCAAAAUGUUCGUUUUCUACUGAAAAGGCUACAUCAAACUUUCUAGCAUCAUAGCAAUGGUUUUUAACUUUUAAUUUAAAAAAAUGUUCUAUUUAGAGCAUUUAUAUUUCACAUCAGCAUAGUUAUUUUGGGGUUGAGAUGCCAUACUAAAGAGCCAUUAGGUCCUUAUGAUAUUAGGAUUUAUGCAAGAAAGAGCACAUUGUUACCAUGGGGAUCAGUAAAUAGUCUUGAUCUGAGACACCAGUUCCCACUGCCAAGACAUGGGUGGGAGAAGGUGGUUCCCACAGACUCUGUUUUCUCUAGGCUAAAAAUAUCGUAUGAUUUCUAUUAAAGGGCAAUUAAAAAAAUUCUCAGUGAUUUAACCUAAAAGAAGCGGACCCUAUCAUUUUCAGAACAAUUCGGCAGUGAGCUCGCUAUCUAAUACUUAGAGACGGCAUUUGUAUGCAAUAUUAAUUAUGCUCAUGCGCCGUCAUGUCAAAGGUGGUGUUGCAAGUGCAGCCUUUUUUAGUGAUGUUUCACACUGGCCUUCAAAAGGAAAUGGCGUAUAGAGACACAUAUAUCACAGACAUAAAUGACUUCUUUUUAAGGGUUACGACAUAAAUUUAGCACCUUGAAGUUAACUCUUCAAAACAGUUGUUUUGGGGGCACCUGGGUGGCUCAGUGGGUCAAGUGUCUGACUAUUGAUUUAGGCUCAGGUCAUGAUAUCAUGGUCAUGAGGUCGAGCCCCGCACAGGGCUCCACACUCAGUGCGGAGAUUAAGAUUCUCUCUCUUCCUCUGCCUCUCUGCCUCUCCCCUGCUCACACUCUCUCUGUCUCAGAACAAACAAACAGAAAGCUGUUUUGGCUUGUGAAAUGUUGCUUCAAAAGGUUGUGAUGUACGUGAAUUCUCUGACUGUUGCUUUUACGGCCUCUAGUCAAGAAAUCCAAAACAUUACAAUUCUUUUCCUGAAGCUUACUACUAAGUAAUACGUCAAAGUAUCUACAAUUAACCCUUGCAUUCAUAAGGUGCUGUAGAAUCUGCAAAGUGAUUUUACCGUCAAUCUUUGUGCCCCAGGUACUUCACAAUCCUAUGAGAUAAGCAGGGUUGGUAAUAAGGUAAUAGUCUCCUUUUGUAUGAUGAGAUUGAAACGUAAAAAGGUCAGAAUGACUGCCUAAACUUACAAGGUUAAUAAGUGUAAGACUGAGCGCGAGGUCUCACAAGGAAAGAGACUCUUCUUACUGUGGUGUUAGGAAAAUGACACGCUUCAUUUCAUACAAUUAGUCCUAUAAACUCUAUCAUCAUAUCAUCAAGACUUCUGGAUUCAAUUCGGUGACAAUGAACACUAAAGUGUGAUGUGAAUUAUUGUCUGAAAAUGUUGUUGAACUAAACAGCCGUUAAGUCAAAUUAUCCAUUGGGUGGGGCAGGAUAUCAUUCAUGGCCCUGUAAGGGCAUUUAUUUUAAGAAAAUUUGACACACAUUGAAAGGAACUAAAUUUUAGUUCAUUAUAAAUUUUGCCAAAAUUAAGUUUUAUUUUACCACUUAAAAGGUAGGUUUCUUCCUCCUCCUCGUCUUCCACCUCCUUCUCCUCACU